rnacentral:tRNA from 1 species
AUUUAAAUAGUUUAACAAGUGAAUAAAAUUCUAAUUUGUGGUAUUAGGGAUGUUAUAUAAUAACUUUAAAUU